rnacentral:rRNA from 1 species
AUUGAACGCUGGCGGCAUGCUUUACACAUGCAAGUCGGACGGCAGCACAGAGAAGCUUGCUUCUUGGGUGGCGAGUGGCGAACGGGUGAGUAACAUAUCGGAACGUACCGAGCAGUGGGGGAUAACUGAUCGAAAGAUUAGCUAAUACCGCAUAUAUUCUGAGGAAGAAAGCAGGGGACCAUUUGGCCUUGCGCUGUUUGAGCGGCCGAUAUCUGAUUAGCUAGUUGGUGGGGUAAAGGCCUACCAAGGCGACGAUCAGUAGCGGGUCUGAGAGGAUGAUCCGCCACACUGGGACUGAGACACGGCCCAGACUCCUACGGGAGGCAGCAGUGGGGAAUUUUGGACAAUGGGCGCAAGCCUGAUCCAGCCAUGCCGCGUGUCUGAAGAAGGCCUUCGGGUUGUAAAGGACUUUUGUCAGGGAAGAAAAGGGUGGGGUUAAUACUCCCU